GGGGUUGUGGCUCAGUGAUGGAGCGCUUUCCUCACAUGUGUGAGAGGCCCUGGGUUCGAUUCUCAGCACCUCA
rnacentral:tRNA from 1 species